GUAAAGUGGCGAACGGGUGAGUAGCACGUGGGUAACCUGCCCCGAGGCGGGGGAUAACCCGGCGAAAGCCGGGCUAAUACGCCAUAAGCCUGGAGGACUGCGGUUUUUCAGGGAAAGGGUGUUUUCGGAUAUUCGCCUUGGGAGGGGCCCGCGUCUGAUUAGCUAGUUGGUGGGGUAAAAGCCUACCAAGGCGACGAUCGGUAGCCGGUCUGAGAGGACGGACGGCCACACUGGAACUGAGACACGGUCCAGACUCCUACGGGAGGCAGCAGUGGGGAAUUUUGGGCAAUGGGCGCAAGCCUGACCCAGCAACGCCGCGUGGGGGAAGAAGGUCUUCGGAUUGUAAACUCCUGUCCUUGGGGAAGAAGAGAGUGACGGUACCCGAGGAGGAAGCCCCGGCUAACUCCGUGCCAGCAGCCGCGGUAAUACGGGGGGGGCAAGCGUUGUUCGGAAUCACUGGGCGUAAAGGGCGCGCAGGCGGCUUGGGAAGUUUUGGGUGAAAGUCCCCGGCUUAACCGGGGAAGGUCCUGAGAAACCACCGAGCUGGAGUGCUGGAGAGGGAAGCGGAAUUCCCGGUGUAGCGGUGAAAUGCGUAGAUAUCGGGAGGAAGACCAGAGGCGAAG
rnacentral:rRNA from 1 species